GCUUACGGCCAUACCACCUUAGGCACGCCCGAUCUCGUCUGAUCACGGAAGCUAAGCAGGGUCGGGCCUGGUUAGUACUUGGAUGGGUGACCGCCUGGGAAUACCAGGUGCAGUAAGCA
ensembl:rRNA 5S_rRNA 5S ribosomal RNA